UACGUAGGUGACCAGCGUUGUCCGGAUUUACUGGGCGUAAAGAGCGCGCAGGCGGUCGUCAAGUCGAGUGUGAAAGCCCCCCGGCUCAACUGGGGAGGGUCAUUCGAUGCUGAUCGACUCGAAGGCAGGAGAGGGAAGCGGAAUUCCCGGUGUAGUGGUGAAAUGCGUAGAUAUCGGGAGGAACACCGGUGGCGAAGGCGGAUCUCUGGGCCUGUUCUGACGCUGAGGCGCGAAAAGCGUGGGGGAGCAAACAGG
rnacentral:rRNA from 1 species